rnacentral:rRNA from 1 species
UGACCUCAAAUCAGGUAGGAGUACCCGCUGAACUUAAGCUAUCAAUAAGCGGAGGA